rnacentral:rRNA from 1 species
UACGUAGGGUGCGAGCGUGUCCGGAAUUAUUGGGCGUAAAGGGCUCGUAGGCGGUUUGUCGCGUCGGGGAGUGAAAACCUACAGCUUAACUGUGGGCUUGCUUUCGAUACGGGCAGACUAGAGGUAUGCAGGGGAGAACGGAAUCCUGGUGUAGCGGUGAAAUGCGCAGAUAUCAGGAGGAACACCGGUGGCGAAGGCGGUUCUCUGGGCAUGAUCUGACGCUGAGGAGCGAAAGUGUGGGGAGCGAACAGG